rnacentral:rRNA from 1 species
UACGAAGGGGGCUAGCGUUGUUCGGAAUUACUGGGCGUAAAGCGUGCGCAGGCGGCUGCUCAAGUCAGGGGUGAAAGCCCAGAGCUCAACUCUGGAAUUGCCUUUGAGACUGAGUGGCUUGAGUACGGGAGAGGUGAGUGGAAUUCCCAGUGUAGAGGCGAAAUUCGUAGAUAUUGGGAAGAACACCGGUGGCGAAGGCGGCUCACUGGCCCGUAACUGACGCUCAUGCACGACAGCGUGGGGAUCAAACAGG